AACGAACGCUGGCGGCGUGCCUAACACAUGCAAGUCGAACGAGAAAGGGGCUUCGGCUCCGAGUAAAGUGGCGCACGGGUGAGUAACACGUGGGUAACCUGCCUCUAAGAUUGGGAUAACUCGUCGAAAGAUGAGCUAAUACCGAAUAAGACCACAGUUCCCGCGGGAACAGGGGUCAAAGGUAGCCUCUGCUUGCAAGCUAUCACUUAGAGAUGGGCCUGCGCACCAUUAGCUAGUUGGUAGGGUAACGGCCUACCAAGGCAAAGAUGGUUAGCUGGUCUGAGAGGAUGAUCAGCCACACUGGAACUGAGACACGGUCCAGACUCCUACGGGAGGCAGCAGUGGGGAAUAUUGCGCAAUGGGCGAAAGCUUGACGCAGCAACGCCGCGUGAGUGAUGAAGGCCUUCGGGUCGUAAAGCUCUGUCGGGAGGAACGAAUGCUCCUGAGGUUAACAGCCUCGGGAGGUGACGGUACCUUAAAAGGAAGCACCGGCUAACUCUGUG
rnacentral:rRNA from 1 species